GACGUAGGGCGCGAGCGUUGUCCGGAUUUAUUGGGCGUAAAGAGCUCGUAGGCGGCUUGUCGCGUCGAAUGUGAAAACUCGGGGCUCAACUCCGAGCUUGCAUUCGAUACGGGCAGGCUAGAGUUCGGUAGGGGAGGCUGGAAUUCCUGGUGUGGCGGUGAAAUGCGCAGAUAUCAGGAGGAACACCGGUGGCGAAGGCGGGUCUCUGGGCCGAUACUGACGCUGAGGAGCGAAAGCGUGGGGAGCGAACAGG
rnacentral:rRNA from 1 species